rnacentral:rRNA from 1 species
GGCCUGUUGAAGUAUAAUGAUUUCAGGUCUGACCUGCCCAAUGAAUAGUUAAAUGGCCGCGGUAUACUGACCGUGCAAAGGUAGCAUAAUCAUUAGUUUUUUAAUUGAAAGCUUGUAUGAAAGGUUUGAUGAGGUGAUAUCUGUCUCUGUGAAAAUUUUAUAGAAUUUUAUUUUUAGGUUAAAAAGCCUAAAUAUUUAUAGAAGACGAGAAGACCCUAUAGAGUUUUAUAUUUUAUUUGAAUUUAGGUUUUUAGGAAUCUAAAGACUUAAAGGUUAAUAAAGUAUUUUAUUGGGGUGAUGGGAAAAUUAAGUAAACUUUUCUUUAUUAAAACAUUUAUUUGUGAGUGUAUGAUCCUAUGAUUUAGAUUAUAAGAUAGAAUUACCUUAGGGAUAACAGCGUAAUCUUUUUUAGAGUUCUUAUCGAAAAAAGGGGUUGCGACCUCGAUGUUGGAUUAAAAUUUAUUGUUAGUGUAGCAGCUUUCAUAUUAGGUCUGUUCGACCUUUAAAAUUUUACAUGAUCUGAGUUUAAACCGGUGUGAG